rnacentral:rRNA from 1 species
UACGUAGGGUGCGAGCGUUAAUCGGAAUUACUGGGCGUAAAGGGCGCGUAGGCGGCCUGCUAAGUCGAACGUGAAAUCCCUGGGCUCAACCCAGGAACUGCGUCCGAUACUGGUUGGCUUGAAUCCGGGAGAGGGAUGUGGAAUUCCAGGUGUAGCGGUGAAAUGCGUAGAUAUCUGGAGGAACACCGGUGGCGAAGGCGACAUCCUGGACCGGUAUUGACGCUGAGGCGCGAAAGCCAGGGGAGCAAACGGG